GAAGACCUUUCAGCGGCGCUGGAAAGGCUAGAUUCCAGACGGAUCCAAAGAAGAAGCAGGAUCCCAGUUUUGACCUUCAUCGCAGCGACCCAGCAGAGAUGGCGAAAGCCGGGUCAGGGUGGCCACCGCCGUGGCAAUGGGAGAAGCGGACACACCCGGGACACAGCUCAGAGGUGGCGCCAGCCCCACUGGACACUGGGGGAGAGAUGACGAGAACAAGCAAGAACGGUGCCUGAGUCUGGGGCUCCUUCACCUCGGCCCGGUAGAGACCAUGCCUGAUGUGGGGGGGGAAACGGGGAAAGACCAGGUCCCGGCGGCAAAGAUGUCCCAUCACUGGCUGGUCCCUGGCCCACAAAAGGUGCUUGAUAGACGUUGACCUGAAUGUCCUGCCCCUGCCUUCCAGAACCCUGUGUGCAGCAGCCGUGUCCAGGGUAAGACGGGGAUUCUAAAGUGGCCCGCGGGGCCCCUACCACAGGUAGUCACUUCCCCUCAGCGGCAGGGAGCCCUUACUGUACGUCUCUAGGGAACAUUCAUCGAUCGUCUCCACGAAUAUUUUCCUCAUCGCUCUCUAGAACUUCUGUCACCGCCUGCCACCCUCACUGCCUGCUCAGCUGUCCUCCCACUGCUCGGCCUCGUUUGUUCUGUCUGCCUCCACCAUUUCUCACCACCCGCCACGUGGCUCUUCCUCAUGGACCCCAAGCUCGGGCUUCACCGCUGUCCACAGGCCUCACCAGGGCAACCGGGGCCCUCGGGGUGGCUGAACACCCCUCCAACUGGCACCCUGCCCUCGGCUCCCUGCGAGCCCAGCACUGCUCCGCAGGAGACGCACGGCACUGAGAACCUUCCAGAACAUUCACGCUGCCAGCGACCUACAACCAGCCACGCGUGGGUCGAGCUGGUGGUGAUCUUCCAAAUACAGCGUGAGCGUGUAUGCUUAACCCUAGGGCGUUGGCAGACUUGUAGCACGGGUCCAGAAGAAGGUAUUUUGACCCAUUUUUUCCAACCUCUUCUGGGAUCAGAUGAGGCAGCCCCCAGUGCGGAGGAUGGAGCGCGGGCUCUGGAGUCCCACAGAGACACGUUUGGGUCCCAGCGCCGCAUCUCCUCGUGGUGUCUUACCUGCUCCGUAAGUUCUAACACCUCCGUUUCCUCAUUUGUAAACUGAGGUCACAAGCGCCUAUCCCACAGGGCUAGUACUCGGUGACAUUUGUAUCUGUCACCUGUGAGGGCACAAUAAAUCAGCCCCAAACUCAG